rfam:Dipodomys ordii contig_24062, whole genome shotgun sequence.
GGUGGUUCAGUGGUAGAGUGCUUGCCUUGCAUGCAUGAGGCCCGAGGUUCGAUUCCUCAGUACCA